AAUCAACGCUGGCGGCGUGCCUAACACAUGCCAGUCGAGCGCGAAAGCCCCGCAAGGGGUAAGUAGAGUGGCAAACGGGUGAGUAACACGUGGGUGACCUGCCUUCGAGUGGGGGAUAACGUCCCGAAAGGGACGCUAAUACCGCAUGACAUCCUGCUUUUGAAAAAGCGGAGAUCAAAGCUGGGGAUCGCAAGACCUAGCGCUUGAAGAGGGGCCCGCGCCUGAUUAGCUAGUUGGUGAGGUAACGGCUCACCAAGGCGACGAUCAGUAUCCGGCCUGAGAGGGCGGACGGACACACUGGGACUGAGACACGGCCCAGACUCCUACGGGAGGCAGCAGUGGGGAAUUGUUCGCAAUGGGCGCAAGCCUGACGACGCAACGCCGCGUGGAGGACGAAGAGCUUCGGGUCGUAAACUCCUGUCGAGCGGGACGAACGCUUCGCGGAUGAAUAAUCCGCGGAAUUGACGGUACCGCUAAAGGAAGCCCCGGCUAACUCCGUG
rnacentral:rRNA from 1 species